rnacentral:rRNA from 1 species
GGCUGAGGUGUGAUGACGAGGCACUACGGUGCUGAAGUAACAAAUGCCCUGCUUCCAGGAAAAGCCUCUAAGCAUCAGGUAACAUCAAAUCGUACCCCAAACCGACACAGGUGGUCAGGUAGAGAAUACCAAGGCGCUUGAGAGAACUCGGGUGAAGGAACUAGGCAAAAUGGUGCCGUAACUUCGGGAGAAGGCACGCUGGUGUGUAGGUGAAGUCCCUGCGGAUGGAGCUGAGACCAGUCGAAGAUACCAGCUGGCUGCAACUGUUUAUUAAAAACACAGCACUGUGCAAACACGAAAGUGGACGUAUACGGUGUGACGCCUGCCCGGUGCCGGAAGGUUAAUUGAUGGGGUUAUCCGUAAGGAGAAGCUCUUGAUCGAAGCCCCGGUAAACGGCGGCCGUAACUAUAACGGUCCUAAGGUAGCGAAAUUCCUUGUCGGGUAAGUUCCGACCUGCACGAAUGGCGUAAUGAUGGCCAGGCUGUCUCCACCCGAGACUCAGUGAAAUUGAACUCGCUGUGAAGAUGCAGUGUACCCGCGGCAAGACGGAAAGACCCCGUGAACCUUUACUAUAGCUUGACACUGAACAUUGAGCCUUGAUGUGUAGGAUAGGUGGGAGGCUUUGAAGCGUGGACGCCAGUCUGCGUGGAGCCAACCUUGAAAUACCACCCUUUAAUGUUUGAUGUUCUAACGUUGGCCCCUGACCGGGGUUGCGGACAGUGUCUGGUGGGUAGUUUGACUGGGGCGGUCUCCUCCCAAAGCGUAACGGAGGAGCACGAAGGUUAGCUAAUCCUGGUCGGACAUCAGGAGGUUAGUGCAAUGGCAUAAGCUAGCUUGACUGCGAGCGUGACGGCGCGAGCAGGUGCGAAAGCAGGUCAUAGUGAUCCGGUGGUUCUGAAUGGAAGGGCCAUCGCUCAACGGAUAAAAGGUACUCCGGGGAUAACAGGCUGAUACCGCCCAAGAGUUCAUAUCGACGGCGGUGUUUGGCACCUCGAUGUCGGCUCAUCACAUCCUGGGGCUGAAGUAGGUCCCAAGGGUAUGGCUGUUCGCCAUUUAAAGUGGUACGCGAGCUGGGUUUAGAACGUCGUGAGACAGUUCGGUCCCUAUCUGCCGUGGGCGCUGGAGAAUUGAGGGGGGCUGCUCCUAGUACGAGAGGACCGGAGUGGACGCAUCACUGGUGUUCGGGUUGUCAUGCCAAUGGCACUGCCCGGUAGCUAAAUGCGGAAGAGAUAAGUGCUGAAAGCAUCUAAGCACGAAACUUGCCCCGAGAUGAGUUCUCCCUGAGACUUUAAGUCUCCUGAAGGAACGUUAAAGACGAUGACGUUGAUAGGCCGGGUGUGUAAGCGCAGCGAUGCGUUGAGCUAACCGGUACUAAUGAACCGUGAGGCUUAACCUU